ensembl:lncRNA FBXW7-AS1 FBXW7 antisense RNA 1
CAAUUUACAGCCCUCUUUACCACUAAUUAAGAGUGUCAAACUGACAAUACCGAAUACCAUAAUUAGCAUGACAAUGUUUAAAGGGAGCAAUGAAAUGAAGUCUCGUUGAAACUGGGGUUCUAUCACUUGCAUCAUAUGUUUUACUUGUGUUGGUUCACAACUAUCAAUGAGUUCAUCUAAAGCAAGCAAUUUCUCUGGUCCACUCCAGCUCUAUCAAAGAGAAUUAGAAAUUUUUAUUGUUUUAACAGAUGUCCCAAAUUACAGGCUUAUAAAGGAAAACUCACAUCUACACACAACCAUAGUUGAUCAGGGUAGAACUGUAUAAAAAGUGGCUCCUUAUAGUGACAUUUUUUCCACAAGGCAUUGAAGAAG